rnacentral:rRNA from 1 species
CGCGUAGGUGGCUCUGUAUGUCUACCGUGAAAGCGUACGGCUCAACCGUAUUUUGUCGGUAGAAACUGCAGGACUUGAGGCUGGGAGGGGCUGGUGGAAUUCCCUGUGUAGCGGUGAAAUGCGUAGAGAUGGGGGGAGAACACUCGUGGCGAAGGCGGCCAGCUAGACCAGUUCUGACACUGAGGCGCGACAGCGUGGGGAGCAAACA